rnacentral:rRNA from 1 species
UACGUAGGUGGCGAGCGUUGUCCGGAUUUAUUGGGUUUAAAGGGUGCGUAGGCGGCUUUGUAAGUCAGUGGUGAAAUACUCCAGCUUAACUGGAGGGGUGCCAUUGAUACUGCGGAGCUUGAGUACAGAUGAGGUAGGCGGAAUUGACGGUGUAGCGGUGAAAUGCAUAGAUAUCGUCAAGAACACCGAUAGCGAAAGGCAGCUUACUGGGCUGUAAACUGACGCUGAUGCACGAAAGUGUGGGGAUCAAAACAGG